rnacentral:lncRNA from 1 species
GAGAGAGUUUGGGGGAAGAUAGAGAGAGGCUAGGAAAAAGAGACCAGAGGAAGGGUUUUUGUGAGAGAAAGCUGGGGAGUCAUCUGUCAGCUGAGAAAACAAAACAAGGGAGAGGGUGAAAUUGGCGGCUAAAGAAAAGCAGAGCAAACUAAAGAGAGGAGACGGCUAAGGGAAUGAAGGAAAAAACAGAGAGCUUGGCCGAAUGAAAAAAGGAAAAAUAGCAGAGAGGGGGUCUUCGGCAGGGGCUGAGGGGAUCAAAAAGAAAGAAAAAGGGCUACGGCGAACUUGGGGGAAGAAAGCAAAAACUGUCGGGCAAGCAAAUGAAAAGGGGAGGAAUGGUUUCGGCUAAGAAACAGAGAGUAGAUGGCUGGGCUGAAGGAAAGGCAGUUGGCGGCUGUUAGCAGGAGAGAAACUAAAAAAAGAAAAACUGGAAAAAUUGGGAAGGGGGUCUCGGCGAACAAAAACAAAGAAAGCAAUAAGAGGGAAAAGAAGAACAGAGGCGGCAACUAAUGGAAAAAACAGAGGAAAGAAAACAGAGUAAGCCGCGGCUGCAAUCUGGAAUUUGGAGGAGGAGUUUGGGGCAGAGGCGAAAGAACCAGAGGAAAGACGAAUUUGGAAGAAGCCGCAACCGGAGCUGCCAUUGCCGUCGCUAGAAUCUACCACCAUCGCCUGAGAAUUUCAUCAGAAAAAGUGCUUGCUGAAAAGGUAUCUUUUCCUUCCCUUAAAUUUCAGUUUUUCUUCAAGGCCCAAAGUUGGAAAUCACAAACCUCAUCUUCUGUGAACUUGUUCAAGCAAUGUUUCUGUAAUUAUACGCCAUUUUUGAAUAUACUUGCUCUCUGUAUUGAUUGGG